AGAGUUUGAUCAUGGCUCAGAUUGAACGCUGGCGGCAGGCCUAACACAUGCAAGUCGAACGGUAACAGGAAGCAGCUUGCUGUUUCGCUGACGAGUGGCGGACGGGUGAGUAAUGUCUGGGAAACUGCCUGAUGGAGGGGGAUAACUACUGGAAACGGUAGCUAAUACCGCAUAACGUCGCAAGACCAAAGAGGGGGACCUUCGGGCCUCUUGCCAUCGGAUGUGCCCAGAUGGGAUUAGCUUGUUGGUGGGGUAACGGCUCACCAAGGCGACGAUCCCUAGCUGGUCUGAGAGGAUGACCAGCCACACUGGAACUGAGACACGGUCCAGACUCCUACGGGAGGCAGCAGUGGGGAAUAUUGCACAAUGGGCGCAAGCCUGAUGCAGCCAUGCCGCGUGUAUGAAGAAGGCCUUCGGGUUGUAAAGUACUUUCAGCGGGGAGGAAGGGAGUAAAGUUAAUACCUUUGCUCAUUGACGUUACCCGCAGAAGAAGCACCGGCUAACUCCGUGCCAGCAGCCGCGGUAAUACGGAGGGUGCAAGCGUUAAUCGGAAUUACUGGGCGUAAAGCGCACGCAGGCGGUUUGUUAAGUCAGAUGUGAAAUCCCCGGGCUCAACCUGGGAACUGCAUCUGAUACUGGCAAGCUUGAGUCUCGUAGAGGGGGGUAGAAUUCCAGGUGUAGCGGUGAAAUGCGUAGAGAUCUGGAGGAAUACCGGUGGCGAAGGCGGCCCCCUGGACGAAGACUGACGCUCAGGUGCGAAAGCGUGGGGAGCAAACAGGAUUAGAUACCCUGGUAGUCCACGCUGUAAACGAUGUCGACUUGGAGGUUGUGCCCUUGAGGUGUGGCUUCCGGAGCUAACGCGUUAAGUCGACCGCCUGGGGAGUACGGCCGCAAGGUUAAAACUCAAAUGAAUUGACGGGGGCCCGCACAAGCGGUGGAGCAUGUGGUUUAAUUCGAUGCAACGCGAAGAACCUUACCUGGUCUUGACAUCCACGGAAGUUUUCAGAGAUGAGAAUGUGCCUUCGGGAACCGUGAGACAGGUGCUGCAUGGCUGUCGUCAGCUCGUGUUGUGAAAUGUUGGGUUAAGUCCCGCAACGAGCGCAACCCUUAUCCUUUGUUGCCAGCGGUCCGGCCGGGAACUCAAAGGAGACUGCCAGUGAUAAACUGGAGGAAGGUGGGGAUGACGUCAAGUCAUCAUGGCCCUUACGACCAGGGCUACACACGUGCUACAAUGGCGCAUACAAAGAGAAGCGACCUCGCGAGAGCAAGCGGACCUCAUAAAGUGCGUCGUAGUCCGGAUUGGAGUCUGCAACUCGACUCCAUGAAGUCGGAAUCGCUAGUAAUCGUGGAUCAGAAUGCCACGGUGAAUACGUUCCCGGGCCUUGUACACACCGCCCGUCACACCAUGGGAGUGGGUUGCAAAAGAAGUAGGUAGCUUAACCUUCGGGAGGGCGCUUACCACUUUGUGAUUCAUGACUGGGGUGAAGUCGUAACAAGGUAACCGUAGGGGAACCUGCGGUUG
rnacentral:rRNA from 1 species